GAUGAACGCUAGCUACAGGCUUAACACAUGCAAGUCGAGGGGUAACGAGAGGAAAGCUUGCUUUCCUUGUCGACGACCGGCGCACGGGUGAGUAACGCGUAUCCAACCUGCCCCCAACUAGGGAAUAACCUUGCGAAAGUAAGACUAAUACCCUAUAAUUUCCUCAGAUGUCAUCUGACGAGGAAUAAAGAUUUAUCGGUUGUGGAUGGGGAUGCGUCUGAUUAGCUUGUUGGCGGGGUAACGGCCCACCAAGGCAACGAUCAGUAGGGGUUCGGAGAGGAAGGUCCCCCACAUUGGAACUGAGACACGGUCCAAACUCCUACGGGAGGCAGCAGUGAGGAAUAUUGGUCAAUGGGCGUAAGCCUGAACCAGCCAAGUAGCGUGCAGGAUGACGGCCCUAUGGGUUGUAAACUGCUUUUAUACAGGAAUAAAGUUAGCCACGUGUGGUUAUUUGUAGGUACUGUAUGAAUAAGGACCGGCUAAUUCCGUGCCAGCAGCCGCGGUAA
rnacentral:rRNA from 1 species